rnacentral:rRNA from 1 species
GGCCAGACUCCUACGGGAGGCAGCAGUGGGGGAUAUUGCACAAUGGGGGGAACCCUGAUGCAGCGACGCCGCGUGGGUGAAGGAGCGUUUCGGCGCGUAAAGCCCUAUCGGCAGGGAAGAAGGAGGACGGUACCUGAGGAAUAAGCCACGGCUAACUACGUGCCAGCAGCCGCGGUAAUACGUAGGGGGCAAGCGUUAUCCGGAUUUACUGGGUGUAAAGGGAGCGUAGACGGCGAUGCAAGCCAGAUGUGAAAGCCCGGGGCUCAACCCCGGGACUGCAUUUGGAACUGUGUGGCUGGAGUGUCGGAGAGGCAGGCGGAAUUCCUAGUGUAGCGGUGAAAUGCGUAGAUAUUAGGAGGAACACCAGUGGCGAAGGCGGCCUGCUGGACCGUAACUGACGUUGAGACUCGAAAGCGUGGGGAGCAAACAGGAUUAGAUACCCCAGUA